CGCUACCCCCACCACCGCCGAACAUCGUCUGGUGCUUGUCAACCACACACACGCUUCUCACAAGUACAUCUGCUCACACACCUGUAAAGAAGCACUGACGUCAGUUAUCGCUGCACUGAACUUGACCUACGCAUGGCAAGGAGUGUGGAAGAUGUGCUAAUGAAGCUGCGAGAGAGAGAGGAAUGUGUCGUCCCUCGUCAGGCAAGCUGCGGGCGGUGGCGCGGUGGCGCGGUACGACGAGCGACGAAGAGCCGGCUGUCGAGUGUCGAGUGUCAAGUGUCGGCUGAUUUAUUGUAAUUACACUAAUUAAGAUUUCUUCAAUAUGA